rnacentral:lncRNA from 1 species
UUGAUUUCGCGGCAACUGUCAUAGUGUCAUGCUGAGGCUUCCGUUCUGCUAUAGCGGCCGCGCUAUUUAUUUCUAUGAUAUGAAGUUCUUUUAGAUGAUGAUGCAUGUGUGUGACCUUGGCUUGUUCCAUAUGCACUGCAGCCGUGUUGUGGCUAUUGCCCAGAUGGGGUCAUCGCCAUCCUCUGGUCAGGCGAGUCCUAGAGCAGGGCAAACCCAGCUCCAACACCGGCACAAGAAAGCCUACAAAGCUGAUGCUAGGAAAAUAGCCUUGUGGUUGCUGGUCAUCCACGACAUGGACAACCUCCGCAACAAACGCCUCUAGCAAACACUUCUGGAGGCUUAGAUCUCUGACAAAAAUCGCAUCCGUGGGUCUCUUUAUGUUAUUCCGUUUUAACAAAUAGAAUCUCUGUGCAUCUUGUUUUGGCCUUUCAGUGCCACGUGGUAGUUGACAGCCAUUGCAGUAGCCACUCGUCUUAUUACUCCCUCCGACCCGUAUUACUUGUCGAAAUAUUACGUGUAUCUAGACGUUUUUUAAACAUAGAUACAUUCAUAUUUAGGCAAAUUUGAGACAAGUAAUAUGGGUCGGAGGGAGUAGUUCAUUUGACAUGCCGAUGCUUACUUAUCUUCAUCCUAAUCCUUGUUGGGUUUUGCUUGAAAAACAGAAAUGCCUUUAAGCAAGGAUAGCAGGCCGCAGGAUCUUGGAUUAUCUAUGCCAGUGACAUGCGCUGAUGGGAACCACCAAGGAAGAUCAGUGAGCUGUAUUUGCUUCCUACCUGAUAGCCAAAACUUUAUAAAUUGGGAGUCUAGAAUCGAAAUUUUCUUGUUUGUUGAGUAGCAGUAAGCGGCGGAGCAGGAUACGGUAUGGAACUGGAUUAGGAGAUGCUAUGAUUUGUACUGGAUUAGGAUUAGGCUAUGUUACUGUUUUGUAACUGCAGCAGAUGAUGCUAUCUAUGAUAAAACCCUUGUUGUUUGUGCUGGAUUAGGAUCUGUUAUGUUCUGCUCGAGAUCUUCCUUCCAUGGUCUUGGGUAGUCUGGUCUGCUCUGCCUGUGUUGCAGUCUGAUGUUGCUUGCUUUGGCAUUGCUGCAUGUGUCUAGUUGGUUGCAAAUAGGAUUUCAAUUAUCUAAUGAUUAGAUCAAAGUUAACUAUUUAUGUCGAUGCCCAGGCG